rnacentral:rRNA from 1 species
UACGUAGGGUGCGAGCGUUGUCCGGAAUUAUUGGGCGUAAAGGGCUCGUAGGCGGUUUGUCGCGUCGGGAGUGAAAAUCCAGGGCUUAACUCUGGACUGGCUUCCGAUACGGGCAGACUAGAGGUAUGCAGGGGAGAACGGAAUUCCUGGUGUAGCGGUGAAAUGCGCAGAUACUGGGAGGAACACCAGUGGCGAAGGCGGCUACCUGGACCGGUUCUGACGCUGAGGCGCGAAAGCGUGGGUAGCAAACAGG